rnacentral:lncRNA from 1 species
UUGUAAUAGCAAGUAGAUUAUGUUUUUGAUACUUCCUUAUGCAAUCUUUGAUUGAAAUGUGUUCCUGGUUGGAACUUUGUACAUUGUAUUGAUUGCGACGCCUUGAAUGUACAGGGGAGACUCUGUCCGCGGUACCGGAAAAACCCUGUCCAUUCGGCGGUCUGUCGGCGUGCCCGAAACCGGCCAAAUAGGCGGGCUCGGGGCGUGACACGAACCCACUGGGAACUUUGUUUAGUUCUCAAACCCUGUUUUGCAGAGCCUAAUACGAGCGCGUGCGUCGAGGAUCACGGCAAGGGUAUCGCGCCCUAGAUAGAGUGGACCAUCGGCAUUAGCUCACUACCAUCGAGUAUAAAAGGAAAGAAUGAAUGUAAAAACCUUUUUGGAAAGAGAAUGUGAUAUAUAUGUUAGAUGUUAGUUUGUAUGUUAAAUGAGAGGUUUUGUAAUAAGCUAAAGAAUGUAAGUUGUUAAACACACUAUGUGGAAAUGUUCUAGUAAGUAGCUUACUUUCUCUCGUAUCUUGAUAUGCCUCUCGCAAAUGUUGAAUGCUAAUAUCUCUUGUUUAGAUAUGUAUGCAUAGACUUUGUUACGCUUCGGGCGGGCAGGGGAAACUCUGUCUGUUCUGCAGGUCUGUUUCGGACCCGAACUGUCCAAAUUGGCGGUGACGGGACGUGACAGAUUGAGGUGGUAUCAGAGCGGAGAGCGGUCUAGGAAGACCUAGGAAACCUUAGGACUUGUGGCCUUAAGGAUUUAGAGACGUGAGAGACGAUGACUCUUGGGUUGUGGCGAAAGUGAAAUGAUUGGGUCAAGUUGUGAAAUAUGUCUCUAAUGAGCUUUAGAGACGGAUUCAAGGUGUGAUUUAAUCUUAGCUUGAGGUGGUCAUGUUGGCGGCCGACAACAUGAUGCCGAGAGAUGAGAUUAAGUACCCUUGUUUAACUUUCGCCUAAUUGGGUUGUCUCGUUGGUGUUACUAACUUAUGUUAGUUAUAAAUUCGUGGAGUGUAACCGGGGGUGCUGUUUCCUUUCAGGACGUGAUGAGACGUGGAAGGCCACCCCCGAAGGUACCUACUCCUGAUCCGGCACCGCCUCUUGAGGUGCCUGAGUCGUCGGUAUCUGGCGAGAUACAAGAUUUGCGGGAUCAAGUUGCCGCUCUUGUUGGAGUGGUGCGGAGACAAGCUGAAGCUUCUCAGCAGCUGGCUGAGGCCUCCCAGCGACAGGAAGAACAGAUGGCGCUGCUUCGGGAAUUGGUGUCCCGACAGGCGGCGGCGACACCUGUCACUCAGCAGCCACCCGUCUCACCUGUGCGCGCCCCUACUGGAGUUGAGGCGGCGGGUGCGGCGGCACCACCGCCGAUGGGGUACACCGUGCCACCAGGUGUGGCGGCGGGCACUUGCCCGGCGAUGUCGAGUACUUCUACUCAUGUUGAUCCGGCGUUGGAGGCCGAGAGGGACCGAGCUCUCGCUUGCCUCACCGCAUUCAAGAAGUUCAAUCCGCCUAUUUUCAACGGGGAGUCGGGUGACCCGUGGGAAAUGGAAUCGUGGGUGGAUACAAUGGAGAAGUUGUUCGAGGAUCUCUAUACCCUUGAGCAAGAUAAGGUGCACCUAGCUGUGCAUUGCCUCGAGAAGUCCGCUCGUGUUUGGUGGAAGGCGACUCGUCAGAAUCGCUCCCCUACAUUACCCCCGAUGAUGUGGGAGGAGUUCCGAGGAUUGCUUUAUGGUGUUCACUUCCCGGAUAGUGAUAAGAAGAAAAUGGAGGAGCAAUUCCGAAUCCUUAAGCAAGGGGAUCGCACUGUUCGAGAUUAUGAGAGGGAGUUCUCUCACAUUGUGAAUUGCGUUCCACAUGUGGUCCGGAGUGACGAAGACAAGGCGGGAUGCUUUGAGCGUGGACUUCGCCGCGAGAUCUAUGCGGCGAUGCAACCCUUAAGGUUGAAGACCUUUACUGAGGUGUUUGAUAGAGCUCUUUGGGUAGAGCAAGGAAUCGCCAAGAUGCGCGCGGAGCGCGAAUCGAAUGAUAAGGGUGCAGAUAAGAAGCGGUCGGCUAGUGGUCCCGCUGGAUCAUCAAAGUACAAGAAGCCCCCGAAGUAUCCGCGUAAGCCGGGGAAGGAUCGUGGACCUCCUCACUGCUACAUUUGUGGGGGAAAUCAUCGGUCCCACGACUGUGAGCGGCGUGGGAAGUGUUAUCAGUGUGGGCAACCUGGUCAUGGAUGGCGUGAGUGCCCAAUGCGUGUGUCACCGGCUCCGACUUCUGCUUCGGCUCCGCCUGCUCCGCGACAGUUCACAGGCCAUCCGCCCGCGAUGUCUACUGGACGCACCAUGGUGCCGCGUCAAGCCGAGGGAUCUCGUGCGGCGCCAAGUGGACGAGUUUAUGCUGCUCAAGUGGAGGAGCCUGCCGUAGCCGACGAUGUCGUGGCAGGUAUUAUUUUAGUUCAUAAUACUAGAGCUAGAGCAUUGUUUGACACUGGCGCAUCAAACUCAUUUAUUAGCAAGUCUUUCGCUAAAGCUCAUGACAUUGAAAUUUCAUUGUGUGCGGACUUUUGGUGGGUGGAUGCACCUGAGCACACAUUUAGUAUCAAGGAUGAAUGUAGAGCUUGUCCGGUGCAAAUUGGCGAUUGGAUCAUGCCAGUGAAUUUGCUUGUGUUGAACCGGAUGAAGGGCUUCGACAUAGUCCUUGGAAUCGAUUGGCUCUCAAAGUAUCAUGCCACCAUAGAUUGUAAAAGCAAGGUGAUCACUUUUUGUGAGCCUGGUCAGAAGGAAGUUGUUUAUCGUGCAUGCAAGAGCUCGCUCUUUGCUAUGACAGUGUCGACGUCAAGAGCAAGAAGGUUGAUUAAAAGUGGAUGUGAAGCCUACUUGGCGUCGGUGGUGGAGACUCAAAAAGAGCUCCCAGCUCUUGGGGACAUUCCGGUCGUAUGUGAAUUUCCGGAUGUAUUUCCCGCGGAAUUACCGGGAUUGCCACCGGACCGGGAGAUCGAAUUUGUGAUUGAAUUAAUUCCCGGGACGACGCCGAUUUCUAAAGCUCCUUACCGCAUGGCACCAGCGGAGUUGAAGGAAUUAAAGGCACAGUUGCAAGACCUUCUCGACAAGGGCUUUGUUAAGCCGAGUGUAUCACCGUGGGGAGCCCCGGUGUUGUUUGUAAAGAAGAAAGACGGAUCGCUUCGACUCUGCGUGGAUUAUCGCGAGUUGAACAAGGUCACAAUCAAGAACAAGUACCCGUUGCCUCGUAUUGACGACUUGUUUGAUCAGUUGCAAGGGUCGCGGGUAUAUUCGAAGAUUGACCUCCAGUCGGGCUAUCAUCAGUUGAAGGUUAAGCCGGAGGAUGUGCAUAAGACUGCGUUUCGGACGCGGUAUGGGCACUAUGAAUUCACGGUUAUGCCAUUUGGACUCACGAAUGCCCCGGCGGCUUUCAUGGACUUAAUGAACCGUAUCUUCAAGUCUUACUUGGACCGUUUUGUCGUAGUCUUCAUAGACGACAUCUUGGUCUACUCUCGGAGUGAUGAAGAGCAUGUGGAGCACUUGAGAAUUGUGCUACAACUACUUCGGGAGGAGAAAUUAUAUGCCAAGUUAAAGAAAUGCGACUUUUGGCUUCGGAAAGUUGCAUUCCUUGGGCAUGUGAUCUCGGCUGACGGAGUUUCGGUUGACUCGGGUAAGGUGGAGGCAAUAAAGAAUUGGCCUCGCCCGACGAAUGUGACUGAGGUUAGAAGCUUUUUGGGCCUUGCCGGCUAUUAUAGACGGUUCGUGGAAGGAUUUGCUAAGAUAUCUCUUCCACUAACGCGUCUUACUCAGAAAGGAGUUAAGUUUGCGUGGAGCGAGGAUUGUGCUCGAGGCUUUGGGGAAUUAAAGAAGAGAUUGACUACAGCUCCGGUCCUUGCCUUACCUACUCCCGGUGAGAGUUUUGUGGUGUAUAGCGAUGCUUCGCGAUUGGGUCUUGGGUGCGUGUUGAUGCAACGCGGGCAAGUUAUUGCAUAUGCUUCCCGACAGUUGAAGGCCUAUGAGAAAAAUUAUCCAACCCAUGAUCUCGAGUUGGCUGCCGUGGUCUUCGCACUCAAGUUGUGGAGACACUAUUUGUAUGGCGAGCGUUGCGAAGUAUACACCGACCACAAGAGCCUCAAGUAUCUGUUUACACAGAAAGAAUUGAACCUGAGGCAGCGCCGAUGGUUAGAAUUGUUGAAAGACUAUGACAUCACAAUUCUUUACCAUCCGGGAAAGGCUAAUGUGGUUGCCGAUGCAUUAAGUCGGAAGUCGGUGGAAAAUCUUGCGAUGAUGAUUACUAAACAACCGCCAUUGCUUGAAGAAUUGCGGCGUUUCAAUUUGGAAGUGGUAGCUCCGAACGUUCCAAUUGUUAUUGCAAGCUUAGUGGUGCGACCGACCUUGUUGGAGAAAGUUAAGACUCAACAGUUACAAGAUUCAUAUCUCCAAAAGGUGCGAGGUGAUGUUGAGGGUGGACAUGCGAAUGAUUUCAACGUUGGCUCCGAUGGCACAAUCCGGUUUCGAGGCCGAUUAUGUGUUCCUAGUGAUGAGGGAAUGCGGAGCGAGAUCAUGCAAGAAGCACACCAAUCCCCUUAUAGCAUACAUCCGGGUGGCACUAAGAUGUAUAAGGAUUUGAGAAACCAUUAUUGGUGGCCCGGGAUGAAGAAGGAUAUUGGUCGCUUUGUGGCGCAAUGUUUGGUGUGCCAACAAGUUAAGGCCGAACAUCGACUCCCUGCGGGAAAGCUACAAAGUUUACCAAUCCCCGUGUGGAAAUGGGAGGACGUGACUAUGGACUUGGUAGUGGGUUUACCUCGUUCUCAAGGCGGUCACGAUGCAAUAUGGGUGGUCGUGGAUCGCCUCACGAAAUCUGCGCAUUUCAUGCCAAUCCACACCACAUGGUCAGGUGAUAAACUUGCACAAGUUUAUUUGGAUGAGGUGGUCCGACUACAUGGUGUUCCGGUAUCAAUUGUGUCGGAUCGAGACCCUCGAUUUACUUCCCAGUUUUGGAAGAACUUGCAAAGUGCUCUUGGCACACGGCUCGAAUUUAGUACUGCCUUUCAUCCUCAGAGCGAUGGUCAGUCGGAGAGGACGAUACAAAUCCUUGAGGAUAUGUUGCGAGCAUGUGUUCUUGACUUCAAAGGAGGUUGGCAUAGUUAUUUGCCAAUGGCGGAGUUUGCCUAUAAUAAUAGUUAUCAAGCGAGCAUUGGAAUGGCACCGUUCGAGGCCUUGUAUGGACGGAAGUGCCGCUCCCCAAUACAUUGGAGUGAAGUUGGAGAGCGACUUGAAAUGGGUCCAGAUGUAGUACAAGAGGCCGAGGAGAAGGUUCGCAUUGCUCGGCAAAGAAUGCUAACGGCACAGUCUCGGCAAAAGAGCUAUGCUGACAAGCGCCGACGAAGCCUCGAGUUUACCGUGGGUGACAAGGUAUUCUUAAAAGUCUCCCCUAUGCGAGGCGUUAAGCGAUUUGGAAUGCGAGGGAAGUUAAGUCCUCGCUAUGUUGGGCCGUAUGAGAUUUUGGAUCGGGUUGGCCCCGUGGCUUAUCGGUUAGCAUUGCCACCUCGACUUGCGGGAGUGCACAAUGUGUUCCAUGUGUCGACACUCCGCAAGUAUGUUUCUAACUCUACGCAUGUACUCCAAUAUGAACCACCCGAGCUUCAGGAGGAUAUGUCGUACGAAGAAUUUCCGGUGCGCAUCCUAGCUCAUGAGGAGAGAAAGCUACGGAAUCGUGCGAUCGCAUAUGUCAAAGUUCAAUGGAGUAAUCAUGCUGAACGAGAAGCUACGUGGGAGCUCGAAAGCAAGAUGCAUGAAGAGUAUCCUUACCUCUUCCCCGAGUCUAAUUGAGGUAUAAUUUCAAGUUUCGAGGACGAAACUUCUUUUAAGGAGGGGAGGAUGUAGUGUACCGAAUUUUAACAUAGAAGUAAGAGUAAAUAAAAAUAGUGUAAAAUACUAUUUUUAUUGGACUUAAAGAAGUUUUCUAUGUGCAAAUGAGGUGCUUACUUGGGGGUUAAGUUUCCUAUGCAUAAGUAAAGAGUUUACUUGGGGGUCAAGUUUUCUAUGGCUAAGUAAUGGGCUAACUUGGAGGCUAAGUUUCCUAACUUGGAGGCUAAGUUUCCUAUGUAUAUAUAAAUAUGAUAUGAGGACUUGGACCUUUUCUCUCAUUUUCCACCCCUUAACCCAAAAAGAGAAGCCUUCUCUUUCCCUCUCUAAACCUCUCUCUCUCCUAGCUCCUAGAGUGUUACUCCAAAAGUGGAGAUUUGGUGGAAGAAGCUUACUUGGAGGUGGAGCUUUCCUCUUCCUCACCAUUGGCUUGAAGAGAGCUUGGGUUUGGAUCGGAAGGAAUCGACGGCCGUAAAUCGCGCUACUAGGCUACCCGCUUUGUGUCGACGCCACAAGGUGGGGGGUGCUAUCCGAAAUAGCCGGGUUUCAUUCUAUGUCUAAGUUCUACUAUUUUUUGAUCAUAUAUCAUCAUGUGUAGAAUAGUGAGAAUCCUAUGAGUUGUGGUAAUUUCAUGCUUAGUGUGAGGGAUGAUGAUCUAUGAUUGCAUGAUACUUGUAGGAAUAUCUAUUUGCAUGAUGUUGAGAUAGAUAUGGACAUGUAUGUUGCAUGAGAACCUUUAUAUGAUGCCAAUAUAGAUGUAUGUAUACAUAUAGCAUGAGUUGCUAGUGGACAUAUGCAUGUGGAUAUGAUGUGAGAAUAGACUAGAUUCAUGAGGAACUAGUAUGUGAACCAAUGACAUUUGAGAAUUGGAAACCUAUGCAUAUGUGGCCGACUUGAGCAUGCCUUGUGAUGAGGACUUGAUGAUACUCGCUUUGUCUGUUAUAGCUUGUGGAUGGUCGCGCCUCCCAAGCAGUGAGCUCCGGAGUUGUAUCACAAUUGCGAAUAAAGCGGGGGGCCUCUCCCGUCAGACGUCACGGUCCCGUGACAGUGUGUGCGAGUGGUUCGACCUUCGGGCGAAUCGAUUGGACUUGGCAAAAGGCAUGAUCAUGGCAUUUCAUAUAUCGUUUGCAUACAUGAUAGAACUUAAAUUCAUACUUGUUGACAUGAUUAGUAAAGGCAUAGCUACACAUUUGAGCAUGAUAUAGAUGUAGAUGAGCAAGGUAGGCUUGUUGUUAUAUCUCUUAUUUCUUUGACAUAUUAUCCUCUUUAUUGUUUCUAUGCCUUUCUUGGACCUAGUGGGAAAAUCGGCGGGGUCGGCGGCCGAACCCACUGGGAACUUUGUUUAGUUCUCACACCCUGUUUUACAGAGCCUAGUACGAGCGCGUGCGUCGAGGAUCGCGGCAAGGGCAUCGCGCCCUAGAUAGAGUGGACAAUCGACAUUAGCUCGCUACCCCCUAUGUAUAGCAAGGAAUGAAUGAAUGUAAAAACCCUUUUGGAAAGAGAAUAUGAUGUGUAUGUUAAAUGAGAGGUUUUGUAAUAAGCUAGAGAAUGUAAGUUGUUAAAGACUCUAUGUGGAAAUGUUUUAGUAAGUAGCUUGCUUUCUCUUGUGUCUUGAUAUGCCUCUCGCAAAUGUUGAAUGCUAAUAUCUCUUGUUUAGAUAUGUAUGCAUGGACUUUGUUACGCCUUGGGCGGAUAGGGGAAACUCUAUCCGUUCGGCGGAUCUGUUUCAGACCCGAACUGUCCAAAUUGGCGGUGACGGGACGUGACANACUUUUCGGUCGUUUGAAUUUGGGUUUAGUUUAACGACUUUUCGGUUGUUUGAAUUUGGGUUUAGUUUAGCAAUUUUUUGAUCGAUUGAAAUCGAGAUGUUCAUGAAACCGAUUCAUGAAAUUAAUUCAUGCUAGGAGCCCGUUUGUAAAGUCCAUUAAAUUUAUGACAAGGAGGGCCCAUGAAAUUAAUUUAUAGAAUUAAUUCAUGAUAGGGGGCCUAUUUGGCAAACCCAUGAAAUUAAUUUGUCAAAUUAAUUCAUGAUAGGAGGUCCAUUUGGAAAGUCUAUAAAACUAAUUCAUGAUAAGGGGGCCUAUUUUGCAAACCAUGAAAUUAAUUCGUAGAAUUAAUUUAUGAUAAGGGGUCAUUUGGAAAGCUCAGGAAAUUAAUUCAUAGAAUUAAUUUAUAAUAAAGAGCCCAUUUGGAAAGCCCAUGAAUUCGGUUUGGGUUGGAGGUAUUUGGAUGACAUAGGUUUGGUAGAUUUGGUUGGGUUUUAUUUAUGAACUUUGGAUUUUGGAUCUUUGAGUUUUGGAUCUUUAUUUGUGGAUUUUGGAUUUUUGGGAUUUUGUUUGUGGGCUGAGAUAGAUCUUGGAUUUUAUAUGUUCAGGGCCCAACUCUGCAUGUGGGCUGAGACGGGUUACGGGCUUUAAUAUUCUGGGCUCGAAUCUGUAUGUGGGCUGGGUUUUUUAUUGAUUUUGAAUCCAAAUCUGCGUAUGGGCUGGAUUUCGGGCUCUACAGGUUGUGGACUCGAAUUUGCAUGUGGGGUUGGUGCCUCUCUUUUUUUAUUGCUUAUAAAGUUUAUUCGUGUAACCCAUAAAUAAAUAGCUCAAAUUCAUUUCAUCAACAAUUUUUUUUGGUUCCAUUUUUUUUGUUCUUUCUUUUUUUUUUUUUAACUGAGAGAAGGAACAACUUUUUUUUUGCAUUUGUUCUUUUCUUUCAUUUUCUUUUCUUUUUUUUCUCUUUUUUUUGUGUGGACUGUCAGAGAGAGAGAGAGAUACAACUCCCUCUCUCUUUGUCUGUGUGUGUACGAAAUUGAGACAGAGAGAGAGAGGGGGUACCUCUCCCUUUUCUUUUUUUUUUUUGCUAAUUGUGAGAGAAAGGAAACCCAACUCCUUUUUUUUUUCUUUUCUUUUUUUUUUUCUUCUUUUCUUUCUUUUUCCUUUUUUUUUGCUGACUGUGAGAGAGAGAGAGAGGGAAAACCCAACUCUCUCUCUCUCUCUCUCUCUCUCUCUUUCUUUGUGUGCGUACGAAACCGAGGGAGAGAGAGUAGUACCCAACAACUCCUUUUUUUUUUUCUUUCUUUUCUUUCUUUUCUUUUCUUUUUUAUUCUUUCUUUCUUCUUUUUUUCUUUUGUGUUGACUGCCAGAUAGAGAGAAGUCCAACUUUUUUUUCUUUUUCUUCUUUUUUUGUUUGUUUGUUUGUUUGUUUUUUUUUAUUAUUUGUCCAAAUAUACGAAAUUUCGUAUCUCAUUUUUUUUAUACGAAAUUUAUCACGUCGAGCAAUACGAUCAAAUCGAACGAAGAUGAUGAAUCAAAACAGAACCCGUCCAUUUUUAAUUAUCAUUCUUAUUGUUAUUAUUUUUUGUCGCGUUUUGUUCAAGUACGCGGAGUUUAAUCGUGUCGAGCCUAUCACGAAGAUGGCCGCUCGAUUAAUUCUUUUGACCAUGUCGAACCUAUCGCGAAGAUGGCCGCACGGUUUACGUAUCGAAAUAAACAGAGCUCGAUCACCCAUUUUGACCAUGUCGAGCCUAUCGUGAAGAUAGCCGCACGGUUUACAUAGUAAAAUAUCCGGUUCGAUCAAUCAUUUUGACCAUGUCGAGCCUAUCACGAAGAUGGCCGCACGGUUUAGAGAUUAGCGAUGCGUACGAUAGAAGCGACGAUUUAAUGUCAAAUUUGAUCGGUUCAAAACCUAUCACGAAGAUGGUCGGGUUGAUCAAAUUGACAAAAAAAAACUCACGGUUUAGAGAUUAGCGAUGCAUAUACGCGACGGAAGCGACGAUUUAAUGUCAAAUUUGAUCGGUUCAAAACCUAUCACGAAAAUGGUCGGGUUGAUCAAAUUGACAAAAAAACGGACUUACGCUAUGCGUAUGCAUGCAUAUCUCCUACUGUUAUAGAAGUCGUUGUGAUUGUCGUUGUCGAAGUCGUAGCCGAAUUCAAGAGCCAGAGUCCUUUUUUAAUUCUUCUUUUUUUUUGUUGCUUUGUACGGAAGAGGAGGGGUGCACAUGGCACCCCCACUGCCAGCCGAGAGAGAGAGAGUGAGAGAGGAGAGAGAGAGAGGAGAGUAUAAAAACUCUUUUUUUUUUGUUUCUCACCUUUUUUUUCUUUCUUCUUCUUCUUUUUUUCUUUUUUUUUUUUUGCUUUGGUUCUCUUUCGGAUCUCUCCCUUUCUUCCUUCCUCUAAAAAAAUUCUCUCUCUAGACUCCUCUUUCGAAAUUUGGAUCUUAUUUUAUAUAGGAUUCAAAGAUGAUUCCCAUUUGGGAAUAAUUUAAAAAAUCAAUUUAUGAGGAAACAAACCUCAAUCAACUAAUUAUACCUCUUUUGUUUUAUUUUUUGAUAAUUUCCUCUUUUUUUUUCUUUUGAAUCUUUUCUUUCCCUAUUUCCUUCCUUCUAUAUUUUCAAUUUGAAUUUGAACUUUUUUUUUGUCUCAANCUAGGCGUAGCAACUGUUGAAACUUCACAUUGUGACUUAGACUAGAUCUUCAGGAUGCUAGUUAUGACACCAUGUUAGAGACAUGAGGAUUGGAUAGUUGAGACUUGGACCAUGCUUGCUUGCCAUUUGUGCUCAUUCGCACAUGCUUGUGAGGGUCGCUCCCUACAAGCCGGCACUCCGGAGUUAGCCUAUGCGACCUAUGUUCGCUCGUGCGGUAUUGAGAAGCCUACGAGGUCGAGUGGGACAGACACAUUCCAAGAGUAGGAAUGUCGGGCUACCACAGGCACUUAGGCGGCACAAGCUGGACUACCUUUGGUAGGUCCUUGAUUGGAAAUGGAAAUCGAUACGGGGUCGAGAUUGGUUAAUCACUACUAGAUAGGUUUAGUAGUUGGAUUACAUUUAUAUGUUUUUUUGCAUAGUGUUGAGACAUGUAGUAUAUUUGAUAGUCUCUUGUUGCAUUAGAGCAUACUUGGUUGCCAUGAUAGAGCUUAUGCAUCAUGCAUUGAUAAGGGUUAUUGACAUUAGACUAGUGCCAUUGGACGUAAUUGUAAGGAUAGAAUAGAUGUACAUUUUGGUUUGCAUCACGCUUUCUUUCAGCAGUUUAUUUACAUGCUCCUUAUUGCUUAUUAUUAUUAUCGUUGCUUACCUUUGUUUUUGGGGCCUAGUGGAGCAGGAGCUGAGGUCAGUAAUUGCCCACUGGGAACUAUAGCUUAUAGUUCUCACGCCCUCUUUUUCUCGAUGUUUUCAGAGCCUUCCACUCAGGGCGAAGCUAGGGACCGCGGGAAGGGAGUUGCUUCGAGCUAGCUUCCUUUGAGGACGAUUCGCUAGGUGGUCUACCUCUCGUUGUGUUUUACUUUGGAGAGGUUGAGAGUUCUACCAGUGUAUUAGAGACCACCGUUUUUGUACUUUUGAGACAGAUAUUGUACUACUUAUGAUUUCUUUAUUGUCUAGCUUUGCUUGCUCUGAUAUCUCUAGUUGCUAGUUAUUUUAUUUCUUAUAUUUGUUCUAUCUCUUGCUUUUACUUCCGCUUUUAUCGUAGACGCCUUAUAUGUGUAGACAUAUGGCGGGUCUGGGCACGCUACUGGGAGGGCCUCCGCCGGUCCCGGGGCGUGACAUAUCUCUUCCACUAACGCGUCUUACUCAGAAAGGGGUUAAGUUUGCAUGGAGCGAGGAUUGCGCUCGGGGCUUUGAAGAAUUAAAGAAAAGGUUAACUACAACUCCAGUUCUUGCCUUACCUACUCCCGGUGAGAGUUUUGUGGUGUAUAGCGAUGCUUCGCGAUUGGGUCUUGGGUGUGUGUUGAUGCAACGCGGGCAAGUCAUUGCAUAUGCUUCCCGACAGUUGAAGACCUAUGAGAAGAAUUAUCCCACCCAUGAUCUUGAGUUAGCUGCCGUGGUCUUCGCACUUAAGCUAUGGAGACAUUACUUGUAUGGCGAGCGUUGCGAAGUCUACACCGACCACAAGAGCCUCAAGUAUCUGUUUACACAGAAAGAGUUGAACCUUAGGCAGCGACGAUGGUUAGAAUUGUUGAAAGACUACGAUGUCACAAUUCUUUACCAUCCGGGAAAGGCUAAUGUGGUUGCCGAUGCAUUGAGUCGGAAGUCGGCGGAAAAUCUUGCGAUGAUGAUUACUAACCAACCGCCAUUGCUUGAAGAAUUACGACGUUUUGACUUGGAGGUAGUAGCUCCGGACGUCCCAAUUGUUCUUGCAAGCUUAAUCGUGCAACCGACCUUGUUGGAGCGGAUUAAGACUCAACAAUUACAAGAUUCUUAUCUCCAAAAGGUACGAGUUGACGUUGAGGGUGGACGUGCUAGUGAUUUUAGUGUUGGCUCCGAUGGCACCAUUCGGUUUCGCGGUCGGUUGUGUGUUCCUAGUGAUGAGGGAAUGCGGAGCGAGAUCAUGCAAGAAGCACAUCAAUCCCCUUAUAGCAUACAUCCGGGUGGCACUAAGAUGUAUAAGGAUUUGAGAACCCAUUAUUGGUGGCCCGGGAUGAAGAAGGAUAUCGGUCGCUUUGUGGCGCAAUGUUUGGUGUGCCAACAAGUUAAGGCCGAACAUCGACUCCCUGCGGGAAAACUUCAAAGUUUACCAAUCCCCGUGUGGAAAUGGGAGGAUGUGACUAUGGACUUGGUAGUGGGGUUACCUCGUUCUCAAGGCGGUCAUGAUGCAAUAUGGGUGGUGGUGGAUCGCCUCACGAAAUCUGCGCAUUUCAUGCCAAUCCACACCACAUGGUCGGGUGAUAAACUUGCUCAAGUUUAUUUGGAUGAGGUCGUCCGACUACACGGAGUUCUGGUAUCGAUUGUGUCGGAUCGGGACCCUCGAUUUACUUCACAGUUUUGGAGGAACUUGCAGAGUGCUCUGGGCACACGGCUCGAGUUCAGUACUGCUUUUCAUCCUCAAAGUGAUGGCCAGUCAGAGAGGACGAUACAAAUCCUUGAGGAUAUGUUGCGAGCGUGUGUCCUUGACUUCAAGGGAGGUUGGCAUAGUUAUUUGCCUAUGGCGGAGUUCGCCUACAAUAACAGUUAUCAAGCGAGUAUUGGAAUGGCUCCAUUCGAAGCCUUAUAUGGACGGAAGUGCCGCUCCCCGAUACAUUGGGGUGAAGUUGGAGAGCGACUUGAAUUGGGUCCGGACGUGUUACGCGAGGCCGAGGAGAAAGUUCGCAUUGCUCGGCAGAGAAUGUUAACGGCACAGUCUCGGCAAAAGAGUUAUGCCGACAAACGUCGACGAAGCCUCGAGUUUGCAAUUGGAGACAAGGUAUUUUUAAAGGUCUCCCCGAUGCGAGGCGUUAAGCGGUUUGGAAUGCGAGGGAAGUUAAGUCCUCGCUACGUCGGGCCGUAUGAGAUUUUGGAUCGGGUUGGCCCUGUGGCUUAUCGGUUGGCGUUGCCACCUCGGCUUGCGGGAGUGCACAAUGUGUUCCAUGUGUCGACACUCCGCAAGUAUGUUUCCAACUCUACGCAUGUGCUCCAAUAUGAACCACCCGAGCUCCGGGAGGAUAUGUCGUACGAGGAAUUUCCGGUAUGCAUCCUAGCUCGUGAGGAGAGGGAACUACGGAAUCGUGCGAUCCCAUAUGUCAAAGUUCAAUGGAGUAAUCAUGGCGAACGAGAAGCUACAUGGGAGCUCGAAAGCAAGAUGCGUGAUGAGUACCCUUACCUCUUCCCCGAGUCUAGUUGAGGUAUGACUCUAAGUUUCGAGGACGAAACUUCUCUUAAGGAGGGGAGGAUGUAGUGUACCGAAUUUUUUUAAUAUAGAAAUAAGAGUAAAUAAAAGUAUAUAAAAUUGUGCAAAUGAGAGGGGCUAAGGUGUAAUUGUGCAAAUGAGAGGGGCUAAGGUGGAAUGGUGCAAGUAAAAGAGUUUUACUUGGAGGGCAAGUUUCCUAUGUAUAAGAGAUUACUUGGAGGGCAAGUCUCCCUAUGUUAUGAGAGGGACUAAAGUGUAAUUGUGCAAAUCAAGGGUUUACUUGGAGGGCAAGUUUCCUAUGAGUGUGAGUGAACCCUUGCCCCCUUUUUCCCAAACCGUAGGAAAGAGAGAGUGGGCUUUCUCUCUCUUUCUCUCUUUGUCCUUGUGGUCUCUCUUUCUCUCUCUCUUUCUCUUUAUUAAAAAGAGGAUUUGCUAAAGAGAGGAUUUGCUAAGAGAGGAUUAGAGAAUACUAAUUGGAGUUGCUUGGUGGUGAAGCAAGCUUAGUGGAGAAGAAGGCUUGGAAUUGAGCUACUUCCUUCAUCUUCUUCAUCACUUGGAUUAGAGAAGAAAGCUUGUUUAAGGUAAGCUUCAUGGGCUCUAAUGGCAUAUAGCUAGAGAUGGGUUUAAAUCUCUUAGAAUCUAGCUAGAUGGAAAUCCUAGUUAAUGUUAGGUUGCUAUUUGCUUGAAUCAUGAAUUUAUAUAGUAUAUUAUUGCAAUAGUGACCUCUAGGAUUUUGAAAGAGAGCUCUUGAUCAUGAGAGGUUUUAAUCUCAAUUGAUCAUAUGUUUCCGCAAUUGAAGGUAAAACCGAUGCGGAGGAUCAUUCGGAUUGAGAUUCCGUUGAGCCGGUGGUGGUCAAAGUGAAGAAAAUUCUAUUUUGCUUCAUUUGUCGCAGUUGGAAGAAAACAACGGCCAUAAAUCGCGCUACUAGGCUACUCGCUUCGUGUCGACAUCACGAGGUGGGGGGUGCUAUCCGAAAUAGCCGAGUUUCAUUCUAUGUCUAAGUUCUACUUUUAUUGAUCAUAUAUCAUCAUGCAUAGAAUAGUGAGAAUCCUAUGAGUUGUGGUAAUUUCAUGCUUAGUGUGAGGGAUAAUGAUCCAUGAUUGCAUGAUACUUGUAGGAAUAUCUAUUUGCAUGAUGUUGAGAUAGAUGUGGACAUGUAUGUUGCAUGAGAACUUUUAUAUGAUGCCAAUAUAAAUAUUGUACAUGUUGUAUGAAUUGCUAGUGGACAUAUGCAUGUGAAUAUGAUGUAAGAAUAGACUAGAUUCAUGAGGAACUAGUAUGUAAACCAAUGACAUUGUGAGAAUUGGAAACUAAUGCAUAUGUGGCCGACCUGAGCAAAGCAUGCCUUGUGAGGAUAGGGAUAUGGUACUCCCGUGGCCCUCGAAUGAGAGGACUUGAUCAUACUCGCAUUGUCUGUUAUAGCUUGUGGAUGGUCGCUCCUCCCAAGCAGUGAGCUCCGGAGUUGAAUCACAUUGAGAUUGGAACGGGGGAGAGAGUCACUACGGUGCGCCCUCGGCAGACGGUCACGGUCGCGUGACAGUAUGUGUAGCGAGUGAUUCGACCUUCGGGCGAAUCGUUUGGAUUUGACACAGGCAUGAUCAUGACAUUUCGUAUAUAGUUGCAUACAUGAGAGAACUUAAACAUGUACUUGUUGACAUAAUUUGUAAAGGCAUAGCUACACAUUCGAGCAUGAUAUAGAUGUGGAUGAGCAAGGUAGGCUUAUUGUUAUAUCUAUUAUUCCUUUGACAUGUUGACCUCUUUAUUGUUUCUAUGCCUUUCUUGGACCUAGUGGGAAAAUCGGCGGGGUCGGCGGCCGAACCCACUGGGAACUAUGGAUAAUAGUUCUCACACCCUGUUUUGCAGAGCCUAGUUCGAGCGCGUGUGUCGAGGAUCGCGGCAAGGGCGUCGCGCAGUAGAUAGAGUGGAUCACCGGCGUUAGCUCCCUACCCUCGAGAAUAAAAAAGAAAAGAAUGAUAUGUAAAACCCUUUUGUGAAGAAAUGUAAUGUAUUUGAGGGAUGGCAUUUUGGUUGUAUGUAUGAGAAGUCAAGUGAAAUAUGUAAUGGUUCUUGUGUGUGAACAAGUAAUGAAAUAGAUAGUUUAAAUUCUCUCGUUUCUGUGAUUGCCUCUCUCAAUGUUGAAUGCUAACAUCUCUUGUUGGAUAUGUAUGCAUAGACUUUGUUACGCUUCGGGCGAGCAGGGGAAACUCUGUCCGUUCGGCGGGUCUGUUUGGGCCCGAACUGUCCAAAUUGGCGGUGUCGGGUCGUGACAAAACAUGUCCAAGUUUCUAUACAAAAAUAAACAUCUAUUGGGGUUCCUCCUCUAGUGCAAGCAACUAUGGUAGGAGACAUUAUCUAGUUUGCGAUCACCUUACCUUAAUCAGACACUGACACUAAGAACUCUGAAAGAAAC